CUCCUACGGGAGGCAGCAGUGGGGAAUAUUGGACAAUGGGCGCAAGCCUGAUCCAGCCAUACCGCGUGUGUGAAGAAGGCCUUCGGGUUGUAAAGCACUUUAAGCAGGGAGAAAAAGUUAUAAGCUAAUACCUUAUAACCUUGAUGUUACCUGCAGAAUAAGCACCGGCUAAUUCCGUGCCAGCAGCCGCGGUAAU
rnacentral:rRNA from 1 species